AGAGUUUGAUCAUGGCUCAGGACGAACGCUGGCGGCGUGCCUAACACAUGCAAGUCGAGCGAAGUGACUCGGAGAGAAGUUUUCGGAUGGAUCAAAGAGUCAUCUUAGCGGCGGACGGGUGAGUAACGCGUGAGAAACCUGCCUUUCACAAAGGGAUAGCCUCGGGAAACCGGGAUUAAUACCUUAUGAAACUGAAUUACCGCAUGGUAGAUCAGUCAAAGCGAAUAAGCGGUGAAAGAUGGUCUCGCGUCCUAUUAGCUAGUUGGUGAGGUAACGGCUCACCAAGGCUUCGAUAGGUAGCCGGCCUGAGAGGGUGAACGGCCACACUGAAACUGAGACACGGUCCAGACUCCUACGGGAGGCAGCAGUGGGGAAUAUUGCACAAUGGAGGAAACUCUGAUGCAGCGACGCCGCGUGAAUGAUGAAGGCCUUCGGGUUGUAAAGUUCUGUCCUUGGGGAAGAUAAUGACGGUACCCAAGGAGGAAGCCCCGGCUAACUACGUGCCAGCAGCCGCGGUAAUACGUAGGGGGCGAGCGUUGUCCGGAAUUAUUGGGCGUAAAGGGUUCGCAGGCGGUCUGAUAAGUCAGAUGUGAAAGGCGUAGGCUCAACCUACGUAAGCAUUUGAAACUGUCAGACUUGAGUUAAGGAGAGGAAAGUGGAAUUCCUAGUGUAGCGGUGAAAUGCGUAGAUAUUAGGAGGAAUACCAGUGGCGAAGGCGACUUUCUGGACUUAUACUGACGCUGAGGAACGAAAGCGUGGGGAGCAAACAGGAUUAGAUACCCUGGUAGUCCACGCCGUAAACGAUGAGUGCUAGGUGUUGGGGGUCAAACCUCGGUGCCGCAGCUAACGCAUUAAGCACUCCGCCUGGGGAGUACGUACGCAAGUAUGAAACUCAAAUGAAUUGACGG
rnacentral:rRNA from 1 species